UGCUGCAGGAGAGGCAGAGGGAGAGGCGAGGCCGCCGCGGCCAUGAGGCGGGGAGCCUCCCCUUGCACACCUGCCAAAGCCAGAGAAGAGCAGGGAUAGCGGCCGGCUGGGUUCAGGGGGGCCAUGAAGGCAGGGAACUUCCUGGGCAGCCGCAAAGCACUGUGGGCGCGAGCAGCGAGCCCCGCCCUGCUCGGAGGGCUCCAGGCUGCGGGGGCCUGCCACACCCCAUCUCCUGCCUAGAGGAUUAACCAGCCCCGCAAGAGGCUCAGCUAAAGCCAGGGCUCUAGAGGAGAGGUGACAAGAGACAGGGUGGGAGAGAGACAGACGGACAGAAGCAGAGCUAGAGACAGACAGGGACAGAGAGAGACAGAGACAGAAAUAGAGAUUGAGAGAGACAGAGAUGGGGGUGGGAGAGAGACAUAGGGACAGAAGCAAGGCAAGAGGCAGGGGGAGAGGGACAGAGAGAGAGAGACAGCAACAGAGACAGAAAUAGAGACAGAGAGAGAGGAACAGAGAGACAGGGACAGAGGGAGGGAGAGACAGAGGCAGGGCUAGAGACAGGGACAGAGUUGGGGGGAGAGGGACAGAGAAAUAGAGAUUGAGAGAGACAGGGACAGAGAGAGACAGGGAGGGGCGAUAGAGACUGAGACAGGGACAGACAGGGAUAGAGACCGAGAGAGAGGGACAGAGACGGAAAUAUAGAGAUUGAGAGAGGAACAGAGAGACAGAGACAGAGAGAGGGACAGAGACAGAAGGGGCAGAGAAAGAGAGACAGGGACAGAGAGAGAAGUAGAGGUAGAGAGACUUGAGAUAGGGAGAGAGAGGGACAGAGACAGAGAGAAAGAGGGACAAGAGAACAGAGACUUGGGACAGAGAAAGAGAGGCAUAGAUAAAGACAGAGACAGAGAGUAAGAUACAGGGGUACAGAGAGAGGGGGACAGACAGAGAGACAGGAAGAGAGAGUCAAGGACAGAGAGAGACAGACAGAGCCAGGGGAAACAGAGACAGAGACAAUGACUGAAAACAGACAGAGGAAGAGACACAGAGAGACAGAGAGAGAUGGGAACAGAGACAGAGAGGGGCAGAGAAAGAGAGAGACAGAAAGGGAGAGAGACAGCGUAGGGGGGAGUGGGGGGGGAAGAACAGAGACUGAGGAACAGAGCCAGAGAGGGGAGCAGAGAAAGAAAAGCAGGAACGGAGACAAAGACCCAGACAGAGACAGAGACUGAGAUACAGAGGGGGAGAGACAGGAACUGAGACAGAGAUGAACAGAGACAGGGACAGAGACAGAGACAGGAAACAGACAGAGACAACGACUGAAACAGACAGUGAGAGACAGGGACAGAAAGGGAGAGAGAGAUAGGGAGAGACAAAGACAGAAGGGGCAGAGAAAGAGAGACAGAGACUGAGAUACAAGAGGAGAGAGACAGAGAAGGGGGGCAGAGAAAGAGAGACAGACAGACGGAGAAACGGACAGAGAGAUGGACAGAGACAGAGAGACAAUGACAGAAACAGAGAGACAGACACACAGAGACUGAGACUGUGUGUUGGGGGUGGGUUGGGGCUUAUUGAGAAGGGUUUGUGGAGAGGGGGGUGCUCUAGGCUUUCCUGCUUCAGUUCCUUGGUCAAUAGAGAACCUCCCUUCGGUGUUCUAAGCAUUUAUACUCAUGCUAUCACCCUCUCUGAAGGCCCUGCCUGGGGACUCUCUGCUAGGGAGCACUCACCUCCCUUCCUGCGGGACAGAGACCAGCUCUAUGAUAUAACUGAAGGGCCCCCAGGAUGGGGUGGGAGAGAUGAGAAAAUGGGUUUGGCGAUUAGGAGGGCCAGCGACAAGCUGGUAGAAAAUCACAGCAAAGUUGGGCCGAUCCGUGCUUCUAAUUUCCAGAUUUGAACAGGCUGAGGGAUUAGGUGAGCUUUUCACAGGCACCACAGAUGGCAACGAUUUCCAAGCUUAGUACAAUGGAUUUGGUUUCCAUCAUCAAAUCUAAACAGAGCUUUCUACAGGUUGAUAAUGUCAAUCUGGAACCAUCGAUCCCAGAUUCCCAGAGAAUCCUGACAUCAGUAGGUUUUCGUAGGAACAUACUGUUUCAGCAAAGAGGCAGGAGAAGGAGGGAUUGAAGCCUGAGGCCUCAACCCCAAUCCGAGUUCGAAAGUCCAAUGGGUCUUCUGAGACGGAUGGACCCGUUCGGGACCCUCCCCCUUUUUAGGGAGAAGGAAACCAUGGCACGUGCUGGGGAAGAGACUUACCCAAGAAGCCUACAAUGGCGGCUGGCUGGUUUGAACCCAGAUCGGAGCUUUUCCCACUUGAGGGAGGGUCGGUUCACCCCUCCCCCAGCACAGGCCUGCCCUCUCCCCAUGCCUUCAGGCAGCCGCUUUGUAAGCUUUCCUGCGCCUGCUCCAGGGCUUCCACCCACGCCCACCUGCGCCAGCCUGCGUGCCUGCGCCCCUGUGAGGAGGAGGGUGAGGGAGAUGGUGGCGUUCUGUUAUGGCGUCCCCACGGCCCCGAGCCCAGUGAGGGCCCUUCUUGCUGGCCACCAGAGACUGUGAGAGCAGAGCGGUGUUCCGGCCAGCACCCAGAGAGCCAUUGGGUCGUCCAACCAGCCCUUCCACAGUGCGGCCGGUGUCCAGAGAGCCAUUCGGUCAUCCCGCCAGCCCCUCCCCAGUCCGGCCAGCCUGCAGCCCCCUGCUCGCUGUAGCCAGAGGUCGGAGAAGGCCCCGGAGAGCAGAAAUAGCCCGAGGAGGUGGCCCGUCUCGCCGAGAAAUGGCCCCGGCCAAGAGUCGGAAAGUCCAGGACAGGCCCAACGUCCGGGAGGAGGAGCCCGUGCUGACCUUCCACGAAGGGAGGAUCCGCAAGGGUCAGUGUAUCCGGGGGGACGUGCAGGACAGACAGGUGAAAUACCUGGUGCGGUACCCCACCGGGAGUAACGGUGUCCCGCUGAGGAUGUCCCUGAGCUACCCUUUUGACCUGCCUGGGUGGAGCCCUCCUGCCCCCAGGCCAGGGGCCUGGACCAGUCGCCUUAGCAGUAACAAGGGUGGUAGCUGGGCCAUGAGCAGCCUCGGGGAGGAGGAAGUGGUCCCCAGCACCAGCACCAGCACCAGCACCAUAGGCAUGUUUUCCAGAGGGCCCGACUGCCCCGUGGCUCCCGAAUGGGAGUACGAAUGGGUGCCGGAGGCCAGGGUGCUCCGCUACAUCACCACCCACAGGCAGAAGGACAGUGAUUCGGCCCUCCAGAAGGCCGCCAAGGAACUGGUGCAGGGGAAGCUCCCCAGCGCCUCCUCCAAGGUCCAGGGAGACCGAGGGGAGGGCUGCCCUUCUGGGGCCCCAGAGGGGCAGCAGCUGCCCAGAAAACACAAGCAAAAAGGUGAGCCCUGGAGUGGGAGAGGGAGAUGGGGAGGGGCAAGGGCUGCGCACGAGCACAGAUGCCUGGGCAAGCUGGAAGUCCAGAUCUGCCUGCCCAAGGCCCUGCGGCCCCUGCUGGUGCAGGACUGGAAGCUGGUGACCAUGGAGAAGCAGCUUUUCAUCCUGCCUGCCAGAAAGCCGGUGGAGGCCAUCCUGGCGGAGUAUGUCGUGUGCCAGGAAAACUGCCUGACGGCCUUCCGGAAGUACUCGGUUGGGGAGGUGGUGGUCGCCCUGCAGGAGUUCUUUGACCUGGUGCUGAGCAGCCAGCUGCUCUUCCGCUUCGAGAAGCUGCAGCACUGCCAGAUAGUGCUGCGCCACCCCGGGGCCCGCAUGUCCCAGAUCUACGGAGGCGCCCACCUGCUGCGCCUCUUCCUACAGCUUGGCCCCAUGCUAGCCUGCGCUCCCCUGGGCACCACCAGCCUUCAGGUGCUGCUGGGCCAUUUGCAACGUUUCCUGAAAUAUUUCGCCAGCAACCCGUCCCUGCUGUUUAAGGCCGCCACUGACUACCGAGUGGCCUCGGCCAAGUACCAGCAGCAGGCCGGCUGAGGCCGUGGGCCCCCCACCCCCGUGCCCCUCCCUGGUUGGCAUCUGUCGGGCCCCAUCUCGGACCAAUGACCCUUCUAGUAGUUCCUAGUGGGUGCGGAAAUGGUGCCACGUGGGAGCUGUGCCUGGCCGGGGGACAUCCACACGAUUCUCCAGCCUCGUUGCCCGUGUUGGUGCCCCCAGAGCUUCCUGGACGCUUGAUCCUGGGCUCUGAAGCCAUCCCUGCCUUGGCGAGGGCACGGUGUGUGUGGCAGUGAUGCCUGGUUUUCUAGGGCCAGGGCACCGAUGUGAACCCACUCUGCCCCACUUUGGAUGUUUUCCCUGUUGAUUCCAAAGGCCUUUCAGGCAAUCAAUAAAGUUCCCUUCUGUGUGGCCAGUGGUCUGGACGUGGCACUC